CGAAGCGAAGAAAAAGGUUGCGGCCUUCUAAGCCGUAGGUCGGGGGUUCGAAUCCCUCCG
rfam:Candidate divison MSBL1 archaeon SCGC-AAA259M10 AAA259M10_Contig_59, whole genome shotgun sequence.